AAGCUCGUAGUUGAAUUUCGGGGUUAGUAGGUUGGUCAUGCCUCUGGUAUGUACUGGUCUCACUGAUUCCUCCUUCCUUAUGAACCGUAAUGCCAUUAAUUUGGUGUUGCGGGGAAUUUGGACUGUUACUUUGAAAAAAAUUAGAGUGUUUAAAGCAAGCUAACGCUUGAAUACAUUAGCAUGGAAUAAUGAAAAUAGGACGUUCGAUCUUAUUUUGUUGGUUUCUAGGAUUGACGUAAUGAUUAAUAGGGAUAGUUGGG
rnacentral:rRNA from 1 species